UGGAAGGGCCAUCGCUCAACGGAUAAAAGGUACUCCGGGGAUAACAGGCUGAUACCGCCCAAGAGUUCAUAUCGACGGCGGUGUUUGGCACCUCGAUGUCGGCUCAUCACAUCCUGGGGCUGAAGUAGGUCCCAAGGGUAUGGCUGUUCGCCAUUUAAAGUGGUACGCGAGCUGGGUUUAGAACGUCGUGAGACAGUUCGGUCCCUAUCUGCCGUGGGCGCUGGAGAACUGAGGGGGGCUGCUCCUAGUACGAGAGGACCGGAGUGGACGCAUCACUGGUGUUCGGGUUGUCAUGCCAAUGGCACUGCCCGGUAGCUAAAUGCGGAAGAGAUAAGUGCUGAAAGCAUCUAAGCACGAAACUUGCCCCGAGAUGAGUUCUCCCUGAGACUUUAGGUCUCCUGAAGG
rnacentral:rRNA from 1 species